CGAGCGGCCCCGCCCCCGAGCUGCGGCCACGCCCCCGGGCGGACCGGGGGCUCGGGGUCGCGGUCGGGACCGGGAUCACGUUCGAGAUCGGGGUCGGGACCGGUUCCGGCCGCAGCAUGGGCGGGUGGUGGGACCUGCCCGCGGAGGCGCUGGAGCAGCAGUACUCCCCCAGCCGCUGGUCCCCCCGCCUGGGCCCCGACGCCGUGAUCCAGGCCCACCUCGCGGCGACAGCAGAAGGAACCCAGCGGGCCCGGGCUGGCGCGCAGACCUCGCUGCACGUCCCUUACGGCGACGGGGAUGGCGAGAAGCUGGACAUCUACCUCCCCACGGACCCUUCUGGAACCUUCCCUGUCCUGGUCUACAUCCAUGGUGGAUACUGGCAGUGCCUGAGUAAAGACGAGUCGGGGUUUGCAGCCCCCCCGCUGGUGUCACAGGGCGUGGGGCUGGUGGCCGUGGGCUACGACAUCGCGCCCAAAGGCCACAUGGACGCCAUGGUGCUGCAGGUGCGGCGCAGCAUCGCCUUCCUGGUGGAGCACUAUGCUGGGAUCAGAGGCAUUUACCUGUGUGGACACUCGGCGGGGGCUCACUUGGCAGCCAUGGUGUUGUCCACGGACUGGACGGAAUACGGGGUGGUGCCAGAUAUCAAAGGAGCUGUGCUGGUGAGUGGCGUGUACGACCUUGAGCCCAUCCUGCACACCUACGUGAACGAUGCACUGAACAUGAGCCGGGAGGUGGCCCAGCGGAACAGCCCGAUGCUGCACAUCGCCCCGGCGGCAGCUGCAGCCUGCGAGGUCCUGGUGGCCGUGGCCCAGCACGACUCCCCGGAGUUCCGCCGGCAGUCGCGGGAAUACGUCCUGGUGAGCGCUGGCAGCAGCCGGGACCCGCCAGGCUGGGAGGAAGGGCUCGGGUGCUGUGUCAGAGCAGCGUUCCUGCUGCUGUUGAAGACGACAGUGGCUCGGGGGGGAUGCUUGUCCUUGCUGAGCCAUGAUUCCCACUGCGGAUGAGGGUCAGGUCCCUCCCGCCAGUGCUGCUCUCUCCACAGGCCCUGCGUGCAGCCGGCUGGUCCGUCUCCAUGCUGGAUCUCGCCGGCAUGGAUCACUUUGACAUUGUUGAGAAGCUGUCUGAGGACAGCUACAUCCUCACUCAGGUGAUUCUGAACAUGAUUUUGAGAGCCUGAUGGCAUGGCGGGAGCAAACAGAGAUGGGAACCACAGCCCUGCACACACCCAGCCCUGCUGCCCUCCUCACUGCAGCUGAUGCCUGCAGCCAGGCAGGGGGCUGCAGCAGGGGAGCACCAGGUACCACUGAGGACAGCAUUCCAUUGCUGGGGUGUUUCUGCCCAUCUGGAGUGCGUGGGGCUGGCACACCUGGAGGGCUCUGUCUGGACUGAUGGGUGAUGAUGUGUGUUCCCUUUAAGCUGCUUAUUGCCACCACAAAAUAAACGAGGAAUAACUGCU